GAAAGGGGGGUGAAGAGAGAAGCUUGGGAGCAUGGCUCUAUGGGGGGGUCCCCUCCUUGGAGAUUUAUUGUCAUCUUUUGUGACGUUUGUAAACUGAAAUUGGCUUGAGUCUGACCUUCCAGAGACACCUUGUCUGGAUGACUUAGGCCAACUGCCCCGACCCGUCAUAGGGAAACUGAGGUUUGGAAAGAGAAAGAGCCUAGUCAUGGCUGUGGUAAGGAAUGAGGAAUCUGGAAUCAGAAGGACACUUUGAGCAUAGGCUGAUGACCAGCAGCUGACAGACAGAGGCAGCUGAGAGAGCCAGCUUUGUGGCCCAAGGCUGGCAUUGGAGUGGACCCUGAAUGAUGGCUCUUCUCUCCGACGCUCCAGCGAUCCUGAGAGUGAAGAAGUGGAGCAUGCUCGGAACUUGGUGGACUUGUGGAAGUCUGAGGAAACUCAGAUUCUUGGCCUCUCCAGUGUGAGGCAGCCAUGGCUGAACUACCUGGACCACACCCUAAGCCAAUCUAAUAAAUCCUCCUUUAAUAU
rnacentral:lncRNA from 1 species